AUACAUAUGUCUUAAAUUUAUAUAAAUAUAAUAUAAAAAAAAGUGAUAAUUGAUAUAAUUAAUAUAAUUAGAGUAGUUGAGUAUAGUAGUUGUAGGUAAAAUUUAAAAUUAUUAUUAUUAAUCUAAUUUCUCUAAUAUUUAAACUUUGAAAAUAAGAUAAAUUGAAAACUAGGAUUAGAUACCCUAUUAUUCUUUAUUUUAAAUUUUUUUUUAUUUGAGUAGUGUAAAUAGUGACACACUAACUUAUAUUUGAAACUUAAAAAGCUUGGCGGUGUUAUAUAUCCAUUCAGGGGAGCUUGUUUAUUAAUUUGAUAAUCCCCAAUUAACUCUUACUUUUUUUUGAAUAUAUUUAUUAACAGUUUGUAUAUUGCUGUCAUCAGUUUAUUUCGUAAGAAUUAUUUAAAAAACUUGAAAGUAGAAUUUACUAAU
rnacentral:rRNA from 1 species